GUGGGGAAUAUUGGACAAUGGGGGCAACCCUGAUCCAGCAAUGCCGCGUGAGUGAAGAAGGCCCUAGGGUUGUAAAGCUCUUUCACCCGUGACGAUGAUGACGGUAACGGGAGAAGAAGCACCGGCUAACUCCGUGCCAGCAGCCGCGGUAAUACGGGGGGUGCAAGCGUUAUUCGGAAUUAUUGGGCGUAAAGGGCGCGUAGGUGGCCUGAUAUGUCAAAGGUGAAAUCCCUCGGCUUAACCGAGGAACUGCCUUUGAAACUGUCAGGCUUGAGGCCGGGAGGGGGUAGCGGAAUUCCCAGUGUAGCGGUGAAAUGCGUAGAUAUUGGGAGGAACACCGGUGGCGAAGGCGGCUACCUGGACCGGUUCUGACACUGAGGCGCGAAAGCGUGGGGAGCAAACAGGAUUAGAAACCCUAGUAGUCC
rnacentral:rRNA from 1 species